UGUCGUGUCAAAUCAUAUUUUCAUCAGUUCUAAUCAGUUCGAUCAGUACUAAUAUCUCCAUCAACAAUGAAAACUAUUUUUCUGGCAACCAUCGUUAUUGGUGUGGCUGUAGCUUUUCCUCAUGACAACGCCCAUUAUAAGUUCGAGUAUGGAGUGCACGAUCCUCACACCCACGACCACAAGUCCCAA